rnacentral:rRNA from 1 species
AGAGUUUGAUCAUGGCUCAGAAUCAACGCUGGCGGCGUGCCUCAGACAUGCAAGUCGAACGCGAAAGUUCCCUUCGGGGGGCGAGUAGAGUGGCGCACGGGUGAGUAACACGUAGGUAAUCUACCUUUGGAUGGGGAAUAACAACCGGAAACGGUUGCUAAUACCGCAUAAUGCAGCGGCACCUAAUGGUGACAGUUGUUAAAGCGGGGGAUCGUAAGACCUCGCGUCUAAAGAGGAGCCUGCGGCGGAUUAGCUAGUUGGUAAGGUAACGGCUUACCAAGGCGAUGAUCCGUAGCCGGCCUGAGAGGGCGGUCGGCCACACUGACACUGACAUACGGGUCAGACUCCUACGGGAGGCAGCAGUCGGGAAUUUUGGGCAAUGGGCGAAAGCCUGACCCAGCAACGCCGCGUGAAGGAUGAAAUCCCUCGGGAUGUAAACUUCGCAAGAACGGGAAGAAUAAGUAAGAGUCAACACCCCUUACGAUGACGGUACUGUUUGUAAGCUCCGGCUAACUCCGUGCCAGCCGCCGCGGUAAUAC